CCUACGGGAGGCAGCAGUGAGGAAUAUUGGUCAAUGGCCGGAAGGCUGAACCAGCCAAGCCGCGUGAAGGACGAAGGUGCCAAGCAUUUUAAACUUCUUUUGUCAAGGGACAAAAUCAGGCUCGAGAGCCUGACCGAGGGUACUUGAAGAAAAAGCAUCGGCUAACUCCGUGCCAGCAGCCGCGGUAAUACGGGGGAUGCGAGCGUUAUCCGGAUUACUUGGGGUAAAGGGGUGCGUAGGCGGACUGUUAAGGCGGCGGGAAAAGCCCGGGGCCAAACCCAGGCGAGCCGUUGAAACUGGGUGUCUUGAGAUGUCGAGAGGUAUGCGGAAUGCGCAGUGUAGCGGUGAAAUGCUUAGAUAUUGGGAAGAACUCCGAUGGCGAAGGCAGCAUACCGGCGGCGAUCUGACGCUGAGGCACGAAAGCGUGGGUAGCGAACAGGAUUAGAUACCCCUGUAGUC
rnacentral:rRNA from 1 species